ACAUUACUUAUACUUGCGUAUUAAUUUUACUCUUAAAAUAUAUUUGUGCUGUUAGCUAGAAAUGAAGCAUGAAGAUCAAAGAUUUGGUAAAGUAUAAAUCACAAUAGGCAUUGUUACGUACACCAAUUCUUUUCUAGAUGACAUCAGAGAUGUGACGUCACGAAGUGGUGAUGACGCAACAGAAGAACCCACUUCAACAUGGUAUGUGACGUCACAGAGGAUCAAGAGGACACAGCGCGAAUCGGAAAUGAAGAAAAGCCAGCGUAUUUGCUGCCGAAGAAAAGCGCAAGACGAAGAGCAAAGACGAAGACAACGACGAAUAUGGAUACCGGUUUGAGGUUUUGCUUAGGAGUUGUGUGUUGUUGGGGUGUGGUUGCUGGAGCACUCUUACAGUGUUGCCGGAUUUGUGAUUGUUUCCCAUUUAUGCUGCACCUAAUGUAGGCAGCCUUUUUGUCAGUCACUACUUUAGUGCAUUUUGCAUGUCUAUGAAAUAUUUGCAUUGAAGCUAUGGCAAACAUCUUGCUGGAUCGGAUUUUGUUGUUGUACACGUCAUUGUGUGCUUCUUCUGCAAAGGUCGAAUCCUUUAGCGAUUCUGCAUUGUCCUAAUCACUUAAUAAGAACGGCAUGUUGGUACACAAAUACACGAGUAAUAUCCACGCGCUUUAUAAUAUACACGCGGUUAAAAUUUUAGAUUUUAUCCCUCAUUUUUCGUUAAAAUUUAUUAUCCCUGUUAUAACCUAUUGUUUAAUUUAAAAAAAAAAACGGUUUAUUAUCUAUAAAAGCCUAAUUGUGACGCUGGCCACGUUACAAUUACGCUAUACGUCGAUGGGUCUUCAAGGCUCAACGUUCGGUGCGGUUACGUCCUUGUUCUAGACUGAGUUACGUUACUGUUGGGUUGUUGCGUGGACGUCACCGCCAGUGGUGCUGCGCUAGUUUAGGUCACAGCCGGUAAUGUGAUGCUACGCUCGGUUAUUUAGGUCACUUAGUGCGGUUCGUAACAACCCGACGCAGUUUCAUGACGGUCGAAGCGGUGCUUAACAUCCGAACGAUAUUAUAUUGCGUGAAGAUACGACGAGAGUAUCGCGGUACCAACAUGGCGACUUGUCAGGUGAUUGGGACAUGUGGAGCCAUUAUCGGCUUCGACUCCUUGUGGCCGGACAUAUAAUGAUUUGUACACUGCAGAUGAUUAU